CCUACGGGAGGCAGCAGUGGGGAAUAUUGGACAAUGGGCGAAAGCCUGAUCCAGCAAUGCCGCGUGAGUGAUGAAGGCCUUAGGGUUGUAAAGCUCUUUUACCAGGGAUGAUAAUGACAGUACCUGGAGAAUAAGCUCCGGCUAACUCCGUGCCAGCAGCCGCGGUAAUACGGAGGGAGCUAGCGUUGUUCGGAAUUACUGGGCGUAAAGCGUACGUAGGCGGUUAUUCAAGUCAGAGGUGAAAGCCUGGAGCUCAACUCCAGAACUGCCUUUGAAACUAGAUAGCUAGAAUCUUGGAGAGGUGAGUGGAAUUCCGAGUGUAGAGGUGAAAUUCGUAGAUAUUCGGAAGAACACCAGUGGCGAAGGCGACUCACUGGACAAGUAUUGACGCUGAGGUACGAAAGCGUGGGGAGCAAACAGGAUUAGAUACCCUGGUAGUCCACGCCGUAAACGAUGAUAACUAGCUGUUCGGGCUCUACGAGCUUAGGAGUGGCGNANACUACGACAUUAAGUUACUCGCG
rnacentral:rRNA from 1 species